CCUACGGGGGGCAGCAGUGGGGAAUCUUGCACAAUGGGGGAAACCCUGAUGCAGCGACGCCGCGUGAGUGAAGAAGUAAUUCGUUAUGUAAAGCUCUAUCAGCAGGGAAGAAACAGACGGUACCUGAGUAAUACGCCCCGGCUAACUACGUUCCAGCAGCCGCGGUAAUACGUAGGGGGCAAGCGCUAUCCGGAUUUACUGGGUGUAACGGGAGCGUAGACGGACUUUUAAGUGAGCUGUGAAAUACUCGGGCUCAACUUGAGGGAUGCAUUUCAAACUGGAAGUCUAGAGUGCAGGAGAGGAGAGUGGAAUUCCUAGUGUAGCGGUGAAAUGCGUAGAGAUAAGGAAGAACACCAGUGGCGAAGGCGAUUCUCUGGACUGUAACUGACGCUGAGGCUCGAAAGCGUGGGGAGCAAACAGGAUUAGAUACCCGAGUAGUC
rnacentral:rRNA from 1 species